rnacentral:ncRNA from 1 species
CUUUAAACGUUAGCGCCAUGUACCUUUCUGGAUCGGUUGGUAGGUUGACGAGGUGGAGAGCUUAUCGAAAAUUCGGCGGAUACUCUCCCGCGUACUUUGAACGUGUCAUAUACUGUUAAAACAGCAGGCAACUGCAACAUAGAGGCAGUAUGAUCAAAGAAU